rnacentral:rRNA from 1 species
UAGGGAAUCUUCCACAAUGGACGCAAGUCUGAUGGAGCAACGCCGCGUGAGUGAAGAAGGUUUUCGGACCGUAAAGCUCUGUUGUUGGUGAAGAAGGAUAGAGGUAGUAACUGGCCUUUAUUUGACGGUAAUCAACCAGAAAGUCACGGCUAACUACGUGCCAGCAGCCGCGGUAAUACGUAGGUGGCAAGCGUUGUCCGGAUUUAUUGGGCGUAAAGCGAGCGCAGGCGGAAGAAUAAGUCUGAUGUGAAAGCCCUCGGCUUAACCGAGGAAUUGCAUCGGAAACUGUUUUUCCUUGAGUGCAGAAGAGGAGAGUAGAACUCCAUGUGUAGCGGUGGAAUGCGUAGAUAUAUGGAAGAAUACCAGUGGCGAAGGCGGCUCUCUGGUCUGCAACUGACGCUGAGGCUCGAAAGCAUGGGUAGCGAACAGGAUUAGAUACCCUUG